rnacentral:rRNA from 1 species
CACGAUGAACGCUGGCGGUCUGCUUAACACAUGCAACUCGAACGAAUCCCUUUGGGGAUGAGUGGCGGACGGGUGAGUAGCGCGUGAGAAUCUGCCUUCAGGUUCGGGACAACCACUGGGAACGGUGGCUAAUACCGAAUGUGCCUUAACGUGAAAGAUUUAUCGCCUGAAGAUGAGCUCGCGUCCGAUUACAUAGUUGGUGAGGUAAAAGCUCACCAAGGCGACGAUCGGUAGCUGGUCUGAGAGGAUGACCAGCCACACUGGGACUGAGACACGGCCCAGACUCCUACGGGAGGCAGCAGUGGGGAAUUUUCCGCAAUGGGCGCAAGCCUGACGGAGCAAGACCGCGUGAGGGAGGAAGGCCCAAGCGGUUGUAAACCUCUUUUCUCAGGGAAGAAGAAAGUGACGGUACCUGAGGAAUCAGCCUCGGCUAACUCCGUGCCAGCAGCCGCGGUAAUACGGAGGAGGCAAGCGUUAUCCGGAAUUAUUGGGCGUAAAGCGUCCGUAGGUGGUUAUGUAAGUCUGCUGUCAAAGCACAGGGCUUAACCCUGUAAAGGCAGUGGAAACUACAAGACUCGAGUGCGGUAGGGGCAGAGGG